rnacentral:rRNA from 1 species
AUUGAACGCUGGCGGCAGGCCUAACACAUGCAAGUCGAACGGUAACAGGAAGAAGCUUGCUUCUUUGCUGACGAGUGGCGGACGGGUGAGUAAUGUCUGGGAAACUGCCUGAUGGAGGGGGAUAACUACUGGAAACGGUAGCUAAUACCGCAUAAUGUCGCAAGACCAAAGAGGGGGACCUUCGGGCCUCUUGCCAUCGGAUGUGCCCAGAUGGGAUUAGCUAGUAGGUGGGGUAACGGCUCACCUAGGCGACGAUCCCUAGCUGGUCUGAGAGAAUGACCAGCCACACUGGAACUGAGACACGGUCCAGACUCCUACGGGAGGCAGCAGUGGGGAAUAUUGCACAAUGGGCGCAAGCCUGAUGCAGCUAUGCCGCGUGUAUGAAGAAGGCCUUCGGGUUGUAAAGUACUUUCAGCGGGGAGGAAGGGAGUAAAGUUAAUACCUUUGCUCAUUGACGUUACCCGCAGAAGAAGCACCGGCUAACUCCGUG